rnacentral:rRNA from 1 species
GAGUCGGUCCGCGCGGAAGAUGUAACGGGGCUAAGCGAUGUACCGAAGCUGCGGGUGCAUAGCAAUAUGCGCGGUAGAGGAGCGUUCCGUAAGCCUGCGAAGGUGACUCGUAAGGGUUGCUGGAGGUAUCGGAAGUGCGAAUGCUGACAUGAGUAACGACAAUGCGAGUGAAAAACUCGCACGCCGAAAGACCAAGGUUUCCUGCGCAACGUUAAUCGACGCAGGGUUAGUCGGUCCCUAAGGCGAGGCUGAAAAGCGUAGUCGAUGGGAAACAGGUUAAUAUUCCUGUACUUCUGGUUAUUGCGAUGGAGGGACGGAGAAGGCUAGGCCAGCUUGGCGUUGGUUGUCCAAGUUUAAGGUGGUAGGCUGGAAUCUUAGGUAAAUCCGGGAUUCUAAGGCCGAGAGCUGAUGACGAGUUACCUUUUAGGUAACGAAGUGGUUGAUGCCAUGCUUCCAAGAAAAGCUUCUAAGCUUCAGGUAACCAGGAACCGUACCCCAAACCGACACAGGUGGUUGGGUAGAGAAUACCAAGGCGCUUGAGAGAACUCGGGUGAAGGAACUAGGC